AUUGAACGCUGGCGGCAUGCCUUACACAUGCAAGUCGAACGGUAACGCGGGGCAACCUGGCGACGAGUGGCGAACGGGUGAGUAAUACAUCGGAACGUGCCCAGUAGUGGGGGAUAGCCCGGCGAAAGCCGGAUUAAUACCGCAUACGACCUACGGGUGAAAGCGGGGGAUCGCAAGACCUCGCGCUAUUGGAGCGGCCGAUGUCAGAUUAGCUAGUUGGUGGGGUAAAGGCCUACCAAGGCGACGAUCUGUAGCUGGUCUGAGAGGACGACCAGCCACACUGGGACUGAGACACGGCCCAGACUCCUACGGGAGGCAGCAGUGGGGAAUUUUGGACAAUGGGGGCAACCCUGAUCCAGCCAUGCCGCGUGCGGGAAGAAGGCCUUCGGGUUGUAACCCGCUUUUGUCGGGGAAGAAACGGUCUGCGCUAAUACCGCGGGCUAAUGACGGUACCCGAAGAAUAAGCACCGGCUAACUACGUGCCAGCAGCCGCCGUAACAC
rnacentral:rRNA from 1 species